AACGCUAGCUACAGGCUUAACACAUGCAAGUCGAGGGGCAGCACUAGGUAGCAAUACUGAGGUGGCGACCGGCGCACGGGUGCGUAACGCGUAUCCAACCUUCCCGAUACUCUUGGAUAGCCUUCCGAAAGGGAGAUUAAUACAAGAUGGUGUUUCACUUUCGCAUGUUAUUGAAACUAAAGAUUUAUCGGUAUCGGAUGGGGAUGCGUGACAUUAGAUAGUAGGCGGGGUAACGGCCCACCUAGUCUACGAUGUCUAGGGGUUCUGAGAGGAAGGUCCCCCACACUGGAACUGAGACACGGUCCAGACUCCUACGGGAGGCAGCAGUGAGGAAUAUUGGUCAAUGGUCGGAAGACUGAACCAGCCAAGUAGCGUGAAGGAUGAAGGUUCUAUGGAUUGUAAACUUCUUUUAUACGGGAAUAAAACACCUUACGUGUAGGGUCUUGUAUGUACCGUAUGAAUAAGCAUCGGCUAACUCCGUGCCAGCAGCCGCGGUAAUACGGAGGAUGCGAGCGUUAUCCGGAUUUAUUGGGUUUAAAGGGAGCGUAGACGGGGGAUUAAGUCAGUUGUGAAAGGCUGCGGCUCAACCGCAGCACUGCAGUUGAUACUGGUUUCCUUGAGUGCGGUUGAGGUGUAUGGAAUUCGUGGUGUAGCGGUGAAAUGCUUAGAUAUCACGAAGAACUCCGAUUG
rnacentral:rRNA from 1 species